GUGGGAGAGAAUUGAAGCGUAUGAAGGGUCCCCCACUCUCUUAGGGUCCAACCUAAAAAGGUUAUUAAUGCUCUUACAAUAUUUAUAUAUAAAAACAUUUGCUAACUUGUCUGCAAAACUGCAUGUUGCCAAGCCUUGGCGUGACAAUAUUCAAUUUGCAUCACUAGGGACCACUCCUUACAUCUUGCAGUUUAUUUUAUAUUCAUAGCUUUUUCAGAGUCUUCAUAUAUUCCAUCUCCAACUAAAAUAAAAAUUUCGUAAAAUCCCCUUUAAAUCUCCUCCUUUCCUCUUCUAUUUAUACUCCUUUAUCCUCUCUUCUCUAUAUCCCAUAACCACCAGAUGAAGGACUACUUCAAGUACUGAUACUGAAAUAGGCCUUUCUCAUUAAUCUAUGGGAUACACUCUGAACUAAGUGUAUUAUGCGUCUUAUCAUCGUGCACCACUAUCAGUUGAAGCUGCCAGCAUGAUCUUAGCUUCUCUUCCUCGUUGAGAAAAGAUCAGAUCAUGUGGCAGUUUCACCCGUUGUUGGUCGUACGAGAAACCCUAAUUCCACUCAUAACCCUUAUUUCCACUGUUAUACUUACAAGGGCUAUUAGGGUUUUCCUUGUUCAAUCCCUAGAAAAGGACUGUCAGUGACAGGAUUUUUGCGUCUCGGUGCAGUUUAAUGAUUUCAAGAUCUCCCAUGAUGCUUCGGUGAUUGAGCCUUGACAUUCUUUUAAAUUGCCGUACAUAUUAAUUUUGUUAAUAAAUUGGGUAUGCAUCUUCUAUUUUCCUGGGUAGGAUUCUAGCAAAGAAUUUUCCUCCUGUUUACGAUCUUCCAAUCUUAUAUCUUUUAGUUUAGGGUUUUUAUAAUACUCUGUACGGUUUGGACCUAUAAAUUCUGCUCCAGGUUUCCAAAUAAUACUAGCGACUACUUGUAUCGAUAAUCAUACCUAUAAAUCCUGUUACAUGAUGCAUCUGACAACUUAUCAUUUUUCAGUUGAGUUGGACUAAAGCCUAGGGUUCUGUGUGUGUGUGUGUGUGUUUGUGUGUGUGAGAGAGAGAGAGAGAGAGAGGUGAAGGCUAUAAGAGAAGGGAUGAGAUUUACAUGUGGGUUUAUGGUUCACAGUGAAUUAAAUUAGCCCUAAAAUUUCAUGAGAUAAGGGAAGUAAACGAAUGAAGUAUAAUUCCAAAAAUCUUUUGCACCCCUUAAAAUUAUGAUCUAACAUCACUUAAUUGAUCAACAAUAUUUCCAGCCAAUUCAACUCAUAAAUUGGGAAAUUAGAAAGCAGGUAGUUUCCUCCCCCUUAGGUUUUUGAGUCUUGCAUUUCAGGAUCUUAUGGGGAAGAUUCGUUCGGGCUCUAAUUAUAGUGAGCUGGAUCUUGCUUGCUCAAUGUCCAAGGUAUAUAUAUAUAUAAUCUUUAAAUUUCCUGAUAUAGUAAUUGAGAUGUAUAACCAGCUGUCAUAACUAAUAUGUCAAUUAGAAAAAAGCGAAAAAAAAAAAAAAACGUUUUCGAAAACAAUAAGGUGGAGGAACUCCAUGACAUAUGGAGAUGUUAAGUUACUAUGACAAUAGAACAGUAAGAUAUAAAAUAUAUAUUGUCCCAUUUUAGAAGUUUACUCCGUGAAGAAUCUAUCAGACAAGAAUCUCACUAUUCUUUGUGUCAUUUUUGCUUUUCCUGUUCACCUUCUUUUGUUUCUUCAGGUUUGAACUUUGAAGAAGAUGGCGAUGGUGAAACCAGUUAAAAAUGAGAAGGUAAAAACAUUUCAGUCUUUUUUUUUUUUUUUUGCUAAUGGUUAUUUUACUGUCACAAACUAAGAGAAAUGCUGACUUGGAGCCCUUGAGAUGAGCACAAUUGCUGCAUGUGAAUAAAAGGAAAGCUUUGUUCGGAACUUCCAGGGUGAAGUUAAAUAUUUGAAAUCUCUAUAAAUUUCUAUUUUCAUAAUAACUAUAAUCCUAAUUCUCUUAAGAUUUUAGACCUCACAUCUUACUAUAAAACAACUUGCUUAAGUCUCCUUUGUUUGAUGAACUUUGCCAUAAGAUGCCCAAAUGUGCUGCUUCUUCACCGAGAACUUGGCACAUACCCUGCUGUGAAGAAGGUUUUGGAAAAUCAGUUGUAAAAAGGAAAUAAAUAGCCAUAAGAACCUGCAAGUCCUUACAUAUGUAACUCUGUUUUUCAUAAGAAACUUAAGAUUACAUAUUCUUCUUUAUGACAAGGACAUAUACAUAUAUGCACAUGGAUUGUAGAGUGUAGAGAGAAAAAUAUUACAUGAUUAUGCAAAUUUGAAGUCUGAUUUUCCAUCAAGCUUGGUUGUUGGGGUUUGGCCCCUCUCUUUUGGCAGGAAGCUCUGAAUGGAGAAGAUUCCAUAUAGCUUUCUUUUUUGCUUGGCACCCAAAUAAGCAAAAACGUCAUUUGUUUGAUUCUCCCAACUCUUUCCAGGGAUUGCAUUUGUCAGUUAUCAUCAAUGAAAGACGUGAUGUAGAGAAUCCAUUGACAAGGGCUUGUUACGUUCCAUUUAUGGGAGACCCAUUAUGCUUGACAAUGGCAAUGCAAUUAAUUGGUUUUCUGCAAGGAACCCGGGAAUCGCUCGCGUUCAAUUGUUGAAACUUGAAAGUGAGAUUUCAGUGAAAAAGUUAAAAAUUUGUGUGUAUUAGAGAGAAAGGACAAGGAGAUUAUAUGGUUUUGGAGAUAUAUUUUACAUAUUGCGGUGCACAAA